CACGCCGUAAACGAUGUCAACUAGCCGUUGGGAGCCUUGAGCUCUUAGUGGCGCAGCUAACGCAUUAAGUUGACCGCCUGGGGAGUACGGCCGCAAGGUUAAAACUCAAAUGAAUUGACGGGGGCCCGCACAAGCGGCGGAGCAUGCGGAUUAAUUCGAUGCAACGCGAAGAACCUUACCAAGGCUUGACAUAUAGAGGAAACGGCCAGAGAUGGUCGCCCCGCAAGGUCUCUAUACAGGUGG
rnacentral:rRNA from 1 species